UAGGGAAUCUUCCACAAUGGGCGCAAGCCUGAUGGAGCAACACCGCGUGAGUGAAGAAGGGUUUCGGCUCGUAAAGCUCUGUUGUUAAAGAAGAACACGUAUGAGAGUAACUGUUCAUACGUUGACGGUAUUUAACCAGAAAGUCACGGCUAACUACGUGCCAGCAGCCGCGGUAAUACGUAGGUGGCAAGCGUUAUCCGGAUUUAUUGGGCGUAAAGAGAGUGCAGGCGGUUUUCUAAGUCUGAUGUGAAAGCCUUCGGCUUAACCGGAGAAGUGCAUCGGAAACUGGAUAACUUGAGUGCAGAAGAGGGUAGUGGAACUCCAUGUGUAGCGGUGGAAUGCGUAGAUAUAUGGAAGAGCACCAGUGGCGAAGGCGGCUACCUGGUCUGCAACUGACGCUGAGACUCGAAAGCAUGGGUAGCGAACAGGAUUAGAUACCCUGGUAGUCCAUGCCGUAAACGAUGAGUGCUAGGUGUUGGAGGGUUUCCGCCCUUCAGUGCCGGAGCUAACGCAUUAAGCACUCCGCCUGGGGAGUACGACCGCAAGGNUG
rnacentral:rRNA from 1 species